rnacentral:tRNA from 1 species
GCUCGGUUAGCUCAGCUGGUUAGAGCGUCGUACUAAUAUCUCCUCACGGAAAUAUCAAGUAAAUGCGAAGGUCAUGAGUUCAAUCCUCAUACUGAGCA